rnacentral:rRNA from 1 species
AGAACGAACGCUGGCGGCAUGCCUAACACAUGCAAGUCGAACGAGACCUUCGGGUCUAGUGGCGCACGGGUGCGUAACGCGUGGGAAUCUGCCCUUGGGUUCGGAAUAACAGCGAGAAAUUGCUGCUAAUACCGGAUGAUGACGUAAGUCCAAAGAUUUAUCGCCCAAGGAUGAGCCCGCGUAGGAUUAGCUUGUUGGUGAGGUAAGAGCUCACCAAGGCACGAUCCUUAGCUGGUCUGAGAGAUGAUCAGCCACACUGGGACUGAGACACGGCCCAGACUCCGUACGGGAGGC